rnacentral:rRNA from 1 species
GACAGAGGGUGCAAACGUUGUUCGGAAUUACUGGGCGUAAAGGGCUCGUAGGCGGCCAACUAAGUCAGACGUGAAAUCCCCAGGCUUAACCUGGGAACUGCGUCUGAUACUGGAUGGCUUGAAUCCGGGAGAGGGAUGCAGAAUUCCAGGUGUAGCGGUGAAAUGCGUAGAUAUCUGGAGGAAUACCGGUGGCGAAGGCGGCAUCCUGGACCGGCAUUGACGCUGAGGAGCGAAAGCUAGGGGAGCAAACGGG